rnacentral:rRNA from 1 species
GGGUCAAGGGAGGAAGGGCACAGGGUGGAUGCCUUGGCAUCAGCGGCCGAAGAAGGGCGUGGCAAGACUGCGAAAAGCCUCAGUGAGCUGUCUAGCUAGC